CCUACGGGAGGCAGCAGUGAGGAAUAUUGGUCAAUGGACGAGAGUCUGAACCAGCAAAGUAGCGUGAAGGAUGACUGCCCUAUGGGUUGUAAACUUCUUUUAUAUGGGAAUAAAAUGUUCCACGUGUGGGAUUUUGUAUGUACCAUAUGAAUAAGGAUCGGCUAACUCCGUGCCAGCAGCCGCGGUAAUACGGAGGAUCCGAGCGUUAUCCGGAUUUAGUGGGUUUAAAGGGAGCGUAGGUGGAUUGUUAAGUCAGUUGUGAAAGUUUGCGGCUCAACCGUAAAAUUGCAGUUGAAACUGGCAGUCUUGAGUACAGUAGAGGUGGGCGGAAUUCGUGGUGUAGCGGUGAAAUGCUUAGAUAUCACGAAGAACUCCGAUGGCGAAGGCAGCUCACUGGACUGCAACUGACACUGAGGCUCGAAAGUGGGGGUAUCAAACAGGAUUAGAUACCCGAGUAGUC
rnacentral:rRNA from 1 species